UUUCGAGUAAGGGAGAGUUAACUGUAAUUAAAAAAGUAUUAGAGUGGUUCUGCCUCAGUAGUUUUGAACUAGCGUGUAUGAAAUGGGUCUACCCCGUUUGGCAUAAUGCCGUAUGGCAUAAUGCCGUUUGGCAUAAUAGCCGUUUGGCAUAAUUGUGAAAAACAUGAAAUUUGAUCAAAUUUCUUCCAUCAAGCAUACUUCUCAUAUUCAAUUUUUAAAGGAAACCAAUAUAUAAUGAAGCUUUUUUUGGAAUUGCAUCAUACAUAACUUCCGGGGACAUUGUGUCCGGAAUAUUAUAGCACAUUUUUAAAAAAAUGUGUCCAUGGCCUAAGAUAUGCCAUGCUAUUUAAAAAAAGAAGGAACAUGAUAUUUUAUGACGCAUCUUAUGGUCCCGGAUAUUACUGUACCUUUGCAGUAUCUUCUUUUUCAGAUUAUGCCAAACGACUAUUAUGUCAAACAACUGUUAUGCCAAACGACUAUUAUGCCAAACGACUUUAUGCCAAACGACUGUAUGCCAAAUGGCAUUAUGCCAAAAGGGGUAGACCCGUAUGAAAUGUACAUCGAGCUGUCAAUGAACGAACGAUGAAACCGAUGAAACAUGUUGCGAUGGAUGAAAAAUUGGAACAUUUUUAGAACACAUAAUGCAUGUUUCUACCAGUAAUGCAAUUCUCGCAUAAUUUAGAACAACGCCUAAAAAGCCAUUGGUAACGUCAUGUGUAGCUCGUUGUUUUUGAGUAGGUACACUGAAAUGAUUCCACGAGUUUAUUGUAUCAGCAAUUUCAUAUGAGUUAAAAUAAUAGCCUUGAUUUAAUUUAAUUGAUUUCAAUUGAUCACUUAUAUGUGUCACAACAAAAACUAUUUGGAUUCAAUAGCCUUCAAAAAUACAUAUUAGUACCACCAGCUCAUGUUCAAGUUAUAUGCACAUGUUAUAACCGACUUAUGUCCCGUGCAUAUAAUUUCGGCUAACUUUUCUCGCUGUGAAAGCUAAAUGCGUGUAUGUCAUAUUGACAUUAUCAUUUCGAAAGAGCACAAAAAUCAACAAUGGCGGACGACCGUGAGCAGUUGUUGUAAGAAUCUGGACUCCGAAUAACAUUUUUCGAUCUUCUUGCUGAUUUUAAAAUUCGAAUUCGAUAAAUGUCCGUAAUUUCUGUCGAAGAACUAGAGGAAGCAUUACAGUUGACGACCUUGAUUGAAGAAAAAGGUACGAUUUCUAUGAAGAUAAUAACGAUUUGUGAUCGAACUAAAAAUGGUCAUUAUAAGUAAAUAAACAUGUAUUUUUGUUUUUAAAUCGUA